AGAGUGGCCUAUGGAGGCAGAUUGCUACAAGAACCUACAGAUUGAGAUUAUAUACCGCCGACCAGACAACUUUGUUUAGCAAAGGCUGUUUUAAUUUCCUCCUAAAUUUAACAUAGCUUUCCUUCCUAAAAAAAUGUUAAACUAGACUUUUCUCUCUUCAAAGCAACCCGAACUGAUACAUCAACUGCUGCACAGUACUAUAUUAAGGUACUAGAAUAUUUAAGGAAAAACCAAAAAGAGAAGACUUCAGCAAUUCAACAGGAAGCUUUUUAAUGAUGAAAGAAGACUUAAGGACAGAGUAAAUUUAAGUAUAUGCCCUGUUAACUUCCUUCCCCACCUAUGCAGCUAUGGAAUUUUAACUUUCCUAGUUCAUCUAAACUUAAAGUAUAAAGAGUUUACGUCUGAGAAUGUUUACUUAAUGCUGAACUCAGGUCUACAGGAGGUCAACUACUAAAGAGUAGUUACAUUAGACGCAGAUAUUUAUAAACCAUCUGAAGCGAGGGACCCAGAAUUCAAUUACAACAUCAACCCUCAUAUUUCAGCAUAUGGGCAAAUUACCAGUCAAGAAUAAAUUCAUUCUGCCCUACUGGCGCUUUAGAUCGGGUUGCACAAUCCCGAGGCAGAACUGCUUUCGCCUAGAGCAUCAGGUACUAAGAAGUGUAAUACUAAGUUACCGUCAGGACACUUUAAAGCGUGGGUGGGAGGACUCAAGGGUCGCCUGAACCAACUUAGCCUAUACUCCAAAUUCAGGAAUUUGUCACGUUACUUGAGAUCAGAGUCAAAUUAAGUUUCGGUCCCUUUGAGAUCUCUGAGCGCACAAAGUCAGGCUGCUAUCACUCCAACAGGCUGGGAAAUCCGAGCCUGGCUGGAGAAAAACUAUUUGGUGCGGAACUCGAGUCUUUUCCGCCACUGGUGAGGGGCCGCACGGGUCGGGUCGAGCGAGGAGCCCGAGCGCGAGUUUAGGGGCGCAGCGGGGCCCAGCGGGGGCGGCGAGCGCGCGUCCCCCCGCCCGCUCAGGCGGCGUAGAGGUGCGAGCAGCUCAGCCAGCCUUGCAGAGGGAGCUCUCGGCAGCUCUGGGGUCCCUCUGCUCGCAGCCGCAGCAGCGCCGCCUGCGCCACUCGGCGGAGACGGAGACCAGCAGCGGUGACGCGCGGACUGCGAGCGACCGCCGAGCAGCCAGGGAGGCACGCAGGGCGGCCGGUUUUGAAUACAUGCAGAAGAAGAGUGGGAGACAGGAGGAAAGGUAAGGUUGGAAGAGGCAAGAAGAAAGGAGGGGAGGGGGUUUGUUCCAGCGACCACCAACACAAUAAACUGUACCAUGGA